CUGCCUGUAGAGUAAGCAGAGCUGGCAUUUGGGCAAGGGGGUGAGGCAGGUUUUGGUGGCUGGUGGCCCUAGGGGUUGACCCUAAAGAACAUCUGGGCAACCUGCCAUCCAGUUGCUCCAAAAUGAAAAUUCUCUAAAAGUGUACCUCACCAACAUUGCCCAUGAACCCUGGAAGCUUCCCAGAGCCACGCCUACUUGGGUCCACCAGGCAGGUGAGGAAGAGGAGAGAGUGGGUCUCAGGAAUGUCCACUGUAAUUACUCAGGACUGUGUUAAUUGAAAGUUGUCUUUGGUGUGUAUCUGUGGAAUGACUCUUUUCUCCCAUGAAGAGGCUUCGGAAGCAGAGACAGCAUUCUCAGAGGUGGGCAUUAAGUGUCUACGGUCCGCUCCUGAGUAGUUUCACAGAGCCGAAUCUGUGGUUACUUAUUAAAAUGCUACAGGGUGCGUGAA